rnacentral:lncRNA from 1 species
AAAAUUGAUUAAACAGUUAACUCACUCCAUGGUGAUAAAGUCCUAAUAGACUUUAGAUGAGACGUUUAUUUUAUGUUUUUCUCAGGCAUUACUGAAACUUCAGUUCCCAUCAUCUCAACAUCUGGAAAUGCAGGCACGACAGGAGUAGUGAGCCCCACUGUCACUGGUGCUGCAGGCGUGGCAGGUAAAUUAAAUUCAGAACAAAGUAUACCAGUCUCAGCUAAGAAACUCAUUUUAGGUGAUGUUACUCAGAACAAUAUUUUGCAAAAUAAAAGUAUUAGAGCUAGGUGAUUAUUCCUUAUAUGUAAUUGAAAUAUCGUAUCUUUAGUCUUUUCACAAGUUGCUUCCUUAAAGUAUAAUGUUAAAAUUAUAUGUGCUGAUGACCUUGAUAGUUGGUGGUGCCUAUGCAUUUUUUUAGCCAGAUAUUUGUUUUUUCUUUACCUUUGUCAGGGACAACUGGAGUGUUACCUGGUAUAACCACAGGAGCUGAACAUGGAAAUUUAAGUGACUUCAGAACAGGUACGACUGGAGGAUUCCUGGGCGCAACCACAGGAGCAGGCAGGGGAAGCACACCGGGAGCAUCAGGCAGUGGGGCCACCAGCCCUGGGAACCCAGCAGGCAAGACAAGGACUCUUUUGGGGGCUGUAAUUGGGGUCCAACACAAGCUUUGCCAAGACCCCAGAAUACGAUAAUGAGAUUAAGUAAAUAUAACCAAGGGCAAUAUUUUAGGAAAACAACAUGAAACUGAAUAUCCUGAAAUAAUUUUUUUGGUAACUAUCCAUAUACAUUAAGCACCAUUAUUCUUCCGAGUAGGAAGAACUGGAGGAGUGGAUGCAGCCACCACUGGAGCUGCUGGUGAAAAUACAUCUGAGAGAGCAGGUACUGGAAGAGCAAAAACAUCAUGAUGCUGUCCUGUGGACACGUGAGCUUUCUGCUCAAAAUUUAGUCAGAAACAAGGUUUGUUGGGGAAUCCAAACAUUACGUAAGGCUGUGUGUGCAGAAGAUCAGAACUAUACCAACAAGCAUAUGCUGUAUACCUAAUACUGUGAUAGAUGCUCUGUGGGAUACAGGAAAAGAAUAGGGCCCUAUAUUUGUUCUCACUCUACUUCACUUUGGAGAGGAAGGAAUAAAUAUUCCUACAGACAUAGAUGAUAAAGACUAAGAAAGGCAGGAGUUAAUCAAGCAAAUAAAAGGUGCAUGCUGGAGCAUAAGGCAAUUCUAGUAAGAAGAGACAAGAUAAUUCAAUGUUGAACUAUUCAGUGUUGAACAGUGAAUUAUCU